GAGUUUGAUCGUGGCUCAGAUUGAACGCUGGCGGCAGGCCUAACACAUGCAAGUCGGGCGGUAGAGAGAAGCUUGCUUCUCUUGAGAGCGGGCGGACGGGUGAGUAAUGCCUAGGAAUCCGCCUGGUAGUGGGGGAUAACGCUCGGAAACGGACGCUAAUACCGCAUACGUCCUACGGGAGAAAGCAGGGGACCUUCGGGCCUUGCGCUAUCAGAUGAGCCUAGGUCGGAUUAGCUAGUUGGUGAGGUAAUGGCUCACCAAGGCGACGAUCCGUAACUGGUCUGAGAGGAUGAUCAGUCACACUGGAACUGAGACACGGUCCAGACUCCUACGGGAGGCAGCAGUGGGGAAUAUUGGACAAUGGGCGAAAGCCUGAUCCAGCCAUGCCGCGUGUGUGAAGAAGGUCUUCGGAUUGUAAAGCACUUUAAGUUGGGAGGAAGGGCAGUAAUUAAUACUUUAGCUGUUUUGACGUUACCGACAGAAUAAGCACCGGCUAACUCUGUGCCAGCCGCCGC
rnacentral:rRNA from 1 species